AACAGUAGAUAGGAUAAAGGAGAGAGAAUAAGGAAAAAGACUUAUCCCUUAGAACAGUGUGGGGAAUUUGGUGACACACAACUUAGGGUCCAGUACAAACCCUGUCCCUUACCAGCCUCAGUUACCCUGUCUGGAAAAUGGGAACAAUGCUCACUCUGCUCUGUGUUCAGUUUGGAAAUGGAAAGAAAUGGCUGUGCUAGGCCCAGGCACGCAGAGAUUCCGUAUUCUUCGUUCUGGACCACAGAGACUCGGAGCCAUGAAGUUUUCCACUGUGGUUUCAGGACUACCAUAAAUGUCAAUCUUGGGGCAUUUUUCAGAUCCCUUCAUUUUUCUGGCUACUGUAAAAAAAUGCUGGGCAGAAAGAAACCACUUGUUCUGGACGGAUCAGAGCUCUGGGAGGGGAUCAACAGCUUGAUUGACGUAAAGGUUUCGGAGAGAUGUGCUGCAUCAGCGCUGGAAGAUUCUAAUGAUUCUACCUCCCUGUACAAAUUCAUUUUCCCGCUAGCAGUAUGUGAGGGUGCUCUGUCCCCACCCUCUGUGUGAGCCAGGAGCGUCAGGUGGAGUCCUUGUUACCUUUGAGAGGAAGAAACAGUUUCCCUGUGAGAUUCUCCACUCCCUGUGUGAUUCUCCACUCCCUGUGCGAUUCUCUUCCUCCUGUUCCUUUCAGCUUUCAUAGUAUUUCUUUGGAGAAUUAAAAACAAUAUGUAUUUUUGGAGUGAAUACCUGAUUCGUAGGAGUUCAUUUUAAUUCAUUAUAAUCAUACCCAUGAUACGAUUAAAGUCUCUUUAUAAUGUACACAGUAUAUGAUAGCUACAAUGAAGUCAUAAUUAUAAUCAAUAAUUAUAUUUAUAUAUAAUUAAUAAUUAUAUAUUAAAUAUUAUAUAACUAGUGAUUGUGAAUUAAACUGUUGCUCUC
rnacentral:lncRNA from 1 species